rnacentral:lncRNA from 1 species
GGCAACCCAGUGUGGUUACUUCGGUAUGGUCUAUACCGAAUUUUCUUUUUCUUUAAAGCUAUUUUGUUUUUGUUUGGAUGCACUAACAUGCAGGAAAGUCGGACCGAGAUAAUUCGGAAAGAGGCCCAGAGGUUGAUCCAAGCCCACUUUGCGUUGCAAAGUGUGUAGGUGGAGAGUUAGGGAUUGGAACGGUCUGGAAGAGGGCUUACGGAGGGAGAUGACGCGAGCGUGUCAGAGGCAGGCGGCGAUGUGACUGCAACUCUUCGGUUUCCGCAGAAAUUUGAAUUUCAAAUUUUGGCCAAGUUUUUAUUUCCUUAAAAAUUCUUUUUCUGCCAUAACCGUCACACUUACCAUAUUCAAAGCCUCAACCCACGAUCUUCCUCCCCACAAACCCUAACCUCCGAAAAAACUGCUACACCACGAUCACCACUCGCCUCAAACCCUAAAUUCCCAUAAUUACCGAUCACCCUUCUUAAAGACCAAC